rnacentral:rRNA from 1 species
GACGAACGCUGGCGGCGUGCUUAACACAUGCAAGUCGAACGGAAAGGCCCUGCUCUUGUGGGGUGCUCGAGUGGCGAACGGGUGAGUAUCACGUGAGUAACCUGCCCUUGACUUUGGGAUAACUUCAGGAAACUCGGGCUCAUACCGGAUAGGAGCUCCUGCUGCAUGGUGGGGGUUGGUAAGUUUCGGCGGUUGGGGAUGGACUCGCGGCUUAUCAGCUUGUUGGUGGGGUAGUGGCUUACCAAGGCUUUGACGGGUAGCCGGCCUGAGAGGGUGACCGGCCACAUUGGGACUGAGAUACGGCCCAGACUCCUACGGGAGGCAGCAGUGGGGAAUAGUGCACAAUGGGCGGAAGCCUGAUGCAGCAACGCCGCGUGCGGGAUGACGGCCUUCGGGUUGUAAACCGCUUUCGCCUGUGACGAAGCGUGAGUGACGGUAAUGGGUAAAGAAGCACCGGCUAACUACGUG